UAGAACAAACCAGCUUUCUAUUAUAGCAUGAAUAUGAAUACAAGGUCUCCAAUAUUACAAGGAAUAACACCAGCACGGCGACACUAUGCCAACCAUAGUUGCUCUAUGCAAGCAGCAUAACAACUCAAGGCAGCGGAACCUCUACUGAUAGUGGAAGAACUAUUGGCAGCGAAACAACGAACGACGAUGAUGGACUCCAAUCCACAGGGACUCUGGCUGGAACGUUUACCCUAGCUCGGGAACAUAGGAACCACACCAAACAAGCAAGCAAUCCAGGCACGACCUGCAAACUGGCAUGACACGCCACGUCAGUACAUUGAAUGCACUUGCAAGCUCACAAUAACCAAAAGCAAUCAAGGCAAACAUCAGCAUGGCAUUAGCAGGUUAUAUCAAUCAUGAGCAUGAUAUAUGGCAUACACAAACUGAACAUGAUACGGCUAAGACAAGCAUAGCAUGAGCAUAUGAACAUGAUAAAACUACAUGCAACAAAUUAACAUCAUCAUGCAUCAACUUACUCUGCUCGGAUUACCUUGUAACCAACACAUGCAUAAACUUACCAACAUCAGUAUCCAUGAUACAACGGUGAUCCUCUCGUGAUCACGAAUAUCCAACAACUCGGUAUCCUUGAUACCGCCAACAUCUUUCUCAUCAUCGAACCAGGGUUGUUAUUAAUCAAGUUAUUAUUACUGUUAGCUCAUAGUGUGACCUACUCCAAACUGGGCCCAUAUCCGCGGGUGCGGCUAUCGAUAGAUUUAAUACACACACUCUGCAGAGGUAGCGCACUUUACCCACACCACAGAACCCAUGGCCUCGCACUCCCAUUCGGGUGGCCCAACGGCGUUCCAACGAAACCCUUCCCUUGCCAUGACACUCUCCCGGCCACUCCGACCAACUCCCUCUCACGUCUAAGUCAUGGGUGGCCCCAUGCCUACCAAAGGCAUCUUCGGCCACCAUUGUGGCAAAAUAAAUGGUCCCAAACGAGGACAUGGAUCCAUACAACAACAAACGGGCACACAAGGUUAUGUAUGCUUACCGAGCCAGGGUACCGCAUGCCCAUAACCUUCCCUCGUUGGAGGCACCAGCAAGAGGCAUGACAAAGGACCGAAUCAAGACCCCCCCCCCAUAAAGGUAAAUGUGGUUGCACUGGUCAGCUUGAUUCAGUGGCACCAUGACUCAGCCAACAGAUGUUCAAGUUCAUUAUUAUCCGGUUAAACUUGAAUGCAAUAAUCUAAGUCAUAAAAAUUACAUGAUGCAACUACGAUGCAUGAGCAUGAUAUCAACAUAAGCAUGGAGGUGCAACAUAAUCAUCGAGCAUAACCAUAAUGAAUCAUAUAUCCGAAUGAGCAUGGCAUACCGACGAGCAUGAAUAACAUAAAUCUACCAUAAGCAAAGCAUGACCACUAGCAUCAUGAAUAAAUACCAUGCAUAACCAUAGCAGAAACACUACCAAGUAAGCAUGUAACCAACUAGAUGCAACAGAACCAACAUAGCAACGGUACUAAAUAUCAGACUAAGCAUGCAUCCGCAGAACAUCGCAACUACUAGCAUGUAUUAUGAUACGUCUCCAAUGUAUCUAUAAUUUUUUAUUUUUCCAUGCUAUUAUGUUACCCAUUUUGGAUGUUUAUGGGUUUUACUUUACACUUUUAUAUCAUUUUUGGGACUAACCUACUAACCGGAGGCCCAUCCCAAAUUGGUGUUUUUUUUGCCUAUUUCAGUGUUUCAAAGAAAAGGAAUAUCAAACGGAGUCCAAACGGAAUGAAACCUUCGGGAGCGAUCUUUUUGAAACAAACAUGAUCCAGAGGACUUGGAGUGGAAGUCAAGAAACAAGCGAGGCGUCCACGAGGGUGCCCGGCACGCCCCCCGCCAUCAAGGGCCCCUCGAGUGUCCACCAACCUACUUCUUCCUCCUAUAUAUACCCAUGUACCCCAAAAACAUCAGAAGCGACCACGAAAAACUAUUUCCACCGCCGUAACCUUCUGUAUCCGCGAGAUCCCAUCUUGGAGCCUUCGUCGGUGCUCCGCCGGAGGGGAAAUCGACCAUGGAGGGCCUCUACAUCAUCUCCAAGGCCUCUCCGAUGAGUUGUGAGUAGUUUACCACAGACCUUCGGGUCCAUAAUUAUUAGCUAGAUGGCGUCUUCUCUCUCUUCGAAUCUCAAUACAAAGUUAUCCUCGAUCUUCUUGGAGAUCUAUUCGAUGUAACUCUUUUUGCAGUGUGUUUGUCGAGAUCCGAUGAAUUGUGGGUUUAUGAUCAAGUUUAUCUAUGGGAAAUAUUUAAAUCUCUUCUGAAUUCUUUUAUGUGUGAUUAAGUUAUCUUUGCAAGUCUCUUCGAAUUAUCGGUUUGGUUUGGCCUACUAGAUUGAUCUUUCUUGCAAUGGGAGAAGUGCUUAGCUUUGGGUCCAAUCUUGCGGUGUCCUUUCCCAGUGACAGCAGGGGCAGCAAGGCACGUAUUGUAUUGUUGCCAUCGAGGAUAAAAAGAUGGGGUUUAUUCAUAUUGCAUGAGUUUAUCCCUCUACAUCAUGUCAUCUUUCUUAAUGCGUUACUCUGUUCUUUAUGAACUUAAUACUCUAGAUGCAUGCUGGAUAGCAAUCGAUGUGUGGAGUAAUAGUAGUAGAUGCAGAAUCGUUUCGGUCUACUUGUCACGGACGUGAUGCCUAUAUACAUGAUCAUGCCUAGAUAAUCUCAUAAUUAUUCGCUUUUCUAUCAAUUUCUCGAUAGUAAUUUGUUCACCCACCGUAAUACUUAUGCUAUCUUGAGAGAAGCCACUAGUGAAACCUAUGCCCCCCGGGUCUAUCUCUUAUCAUAUAAGCUUUCAAUCUACUUUUAUUUUCAUCUUUACUUUUCCAAUCUAUAUCAUAAAAUACCAAAAAAUAUAUUUAUCUUAUCAUAUUAUCUCUAUCAGAUCUCACUUUCGCAAGUGGCCUUGAAGGGAUUGACAACCCCUUUAUUGCGUUGGUUGCGAGUUCUUGUUUGUUUGUGUAGGUGCAUGGGACUUUUGAGGAGCCUCCUACUGGAUUGAUACAUUGGUUCUCAAAAACUGAGGGAAAUACUUACGCUACUAUUGCUGCAUCACCCUUUCCUCUUCAAGGAAAACCAACACAAGCUCAAGAUGUAGCAUAUUACUAGUACCAAGCAUGACUUACGAACAUGAUACUAGCAAGUAGCACAAUAUAUCACGAUGCAACAUAAGAUAGCAGGAAUGUGGACACGAGUCCACGAGUAAAAUUGAAACAACGGCAGUAGCAACAAACAAGCAGGCAGAUAACGACAAAAUUUUAUUAAAUAUUCAAGUUGAAAACCAAGGCUACUUCAUUACUAUCAUGCAAGUGGCUGUUGUGGCUUGCCCGGGGGUGACGGAGACUCCAGGAAGAAGUGCGGUGAAGCCACGGAAACAGAACACCGGACGGUUCUCUCUCGAAGGGGGCUGAUAAGGGCAAUGGCAAACUGGUCAUUUUCACUGUGGGACCACUAGUGAAAAUGGAACCAAGAGAAAGAGCUCGACAAUACGAAGAUGAUAGCGUUGGUUUCACAUCGAUCGGAGUUACGGUCAUCCAGAUACGAAGAGAAGAAGUGGAGGGACCAAACUGUAAAAAGAAUAUUCACAAACAAGUCCCUGAUUGGAUAAGGCAGAGGCGCAGAAUCAAAAAUACGCUUUCUUAACAGGAAAACGUACUUCGGGCCGAAGCAGAAGGAAAUACGCUUUCCAAUCAAGAAAACGUACUUAUGGAAGACAGAGGAAGAAACUACGCUUUCAGAAUGAGAAAAUGUAUUGGAGUAGAAUACGCUUUUGGUCAAAUGUAAACGGACUAACCCGGGAGCAUUUCCACUUGCCAUGUCAGCGGCGCGCCUGGGCCACUGACGGGCCGGGCCCAGCGGCAGGGGAGGGGGCACGGGCGCACGUCGUCUUCCUCCCCGCGCCCGCCCUGUUCUUCGCGUGAAGCGGAGGCAGAGCAGGGGAGGGGCGACGAGGGGACCGGCCACCUCCGGCCAAAGCGAGGCCACCGGAG
rnacentral:lncRNA from 1 species